rnacentral:rRNA from 1 species
UGACACGUAGGCACCAAGCGUUGUCCGGAUUUAUUGGGCGUAAAGAGCUCGUAGGCGGUUCGGUAAGUCGGGUGUGAAAACUUUGGGCUUAACCCAAAGACUGCAUCCGAUACUGCUGUGACUUGAGUCCGGUAGGGGAGUGGGGAAUUCCUGGUGUAGCGGUGGAAUGCGCAGAUAUCAGGAGGAACACCGGUGGCGAAGGCGCCACUCUGGGCCGGUACUGACGCUGAGGAGCGAAAGCGUGGGGAGCGAACAGGAUUAGAUACCCUGGUAGUCCACGCCGUAAACGUUGGGCACUAGGUGUGGGCUCUUACCAACGGAGUCCGUGCCGUAGCUAACGCAUUAAGUGCCCCGCCUGGGGAGUACGGCCGCAAGGCUA